CCAUAAAGAAGCCGUCGAGAGAUAUCGGAAGAGUUUUCUUUUCUGUUUUAUAGCCGUACUACCAUGGAAGUCUUUCGCAGAGAGAUAUGGUAGAUGGGCUAGAAGAGCAUGACAUAUACUGUUGUGUCGAUAUUUUCUCCUCGGACCUUGAAAAUUUAUGGUGGGGACACGCAAACUUCUCAACAGGCCGUACCAAUAUCCGCAGCUGGUCUCCAAGGUGAAGAGUCUCUAGUCGAUAGAAUAAUGUAGGUAAGGGAAGUCGGCAAAUUAGAUCCGUAACUUCGGGAUAAGGAUUGGCUCUGAAGAUUGAGAUAGUCGGGCUUGAUUGGGAAACAAUAACAUGGUUUAUGUGCUCGUUCUGGGUAAAUAGAGUUUCUAGCAUUUAUGUUAGUUACUUGUUCCCCGGAUAGUUUAGUUACGUAGCCAAUUGUGGAACUUUCUUGCUAAAAUUUUUAAGAAUACUAUUUGGGUUAAACCAAUUAGUUCUUAUUAAUUAUAACGAUUAUCAAUUAACAAUCAAUUCAGAACUGGCACGGACUUGGGGAAUCCGACUGUCUAAUUAAAACAAAGCAUUGUGAUGGCCCUAGCGGGUGUUGACACAAUGUGAUUUCUGCCCAGUGCUCUGAAUGUCAAAGUGAAGAAAUUCAAGUAAGCGCGGGUCAACGGCGGGAGUAACUAUGACUCUCUUAAGGUAGCCAAAUGCCUCGUCAUCUAAUUAGUGACGCGCAUGAAUGGAUUAACGAGAUUCCUACUGUCCCUAUCUACUAUCUAGCGAAACCACAGCCAAGGGAACGGGCUUGGAAUAAUUAGCGGGGAAAGAAGACCCUUUUGAGCUUGACUCUAAUCUGGCAGUGUAAGGAGACAUAAGAGGUGUAGAAUAAGUGGGAGAUAUUAGACCUCGGUUUGGUAUCGUCAAUGAAAUACCACUACUCUUAUUGUUUCCUUACUUACUUGAUUAAAUGGAACGUGUAUCAUUUCCUAGCCAUUAUACGGAUAUAUUUAUUAUAUCUUAUGGUAUUGGGUUUUGAUGCAAGCUUCUUGAUCAAAGUAUCACGAGUUUGUUAUAUAAUCGCAAACAAAUUCUUUAAUAAAACGAUGCAUUUAUGUAUUUUUGAUUUGAAAAUUUGGUAUAACUCCAAUUACUCAGGUAUGAUCCAAUUCAAGGACAUUGCCAGGUAGGGAGUUUGACUGGGGCGGUACAUCUCUCAAAUAAUAACGGAGGUGUCCCAAGGCCAGCUCAGUGCGGACAGAAACCACACAUAGAGCAAAAGGGCAAAUGCUGACUUGAUCUCGGUGUUCAGUACACACAGGGACAGCAAAAGCUCGGCCUAUCGAUCCUUUUGGUUUAAAGAGUUUUUAACAAGAGGUGUCAGAAAAGUUACCAUAGGGAUAACUGGCUUGUGGCGGCCAAGCGUUCAUAGCGACGUCGCUUUUUGAUCCUUCGAUGUCGGCUCUUCCUAUCAUUGUGAAGCAAAAUUCACCAAGCGUUGGAUUGUUCACCCAUGCAAGGGAACGUGAGCUGGGUUUAGACCGUCGUGAGACAGGUUAGUUUUACCCUACUAAUGACAAAACGUUGUUGCGACAGCAUUCCUGCGUAGUACGAGAGGAACCGCAGGUACGGACCAAUGGCACAAUACUUGUUCGAGCGAACAGUGGUAUGACGCUACGUCCGUUGGAUUAUGCCUGAACGCCUCUAAGGUCGUAUCCGUGCUGGACUGCAAUGAUAAAUAAGGGGCAAUUUGCAUUGU
rnacentral:rRNA from 1 species